GACAGAGGGUGCAAACGUUGCUCGGAAUCACUGGGCGUAAAGGGCGUGUAGGCGGGACAGUAAGUCGGGCGUGAAAUCCCUGGGCUCAACCCAGGAACUGCACUCGAAACUACUAUUCUUGAGUGUCGGAGAGGAAAGCGGAAUUCCUGGUGUAGAGGUGAAAUUCGUAGAUAUCAGGAGGAACACCAGUGGCGGAAGGCGGCUUUCUGGACGAUAACU
rnacentral:rRNA from 1 species